GGGCCCGCACAAGCGGUGGAGCAUGUGGUUUAAUUCGAUGCAACGCGAAGAACCUUACCAGGGCUUGACAUACUGCGAAUCUUUCUGAAAGGAGAGAGUGCCUUCGGGAAUGCAGAUACAGGUGGUGCAUGGCUGUCGUCAGCUCGUGUCGUGAGAUGUUGGGUUAAGUCCCGCAACGAGCGCAACCCUUGUUUUUAGUUACCAAUUCGUUGGGUUUUCUAGAAAGACUGCCGGUGACAAACCGGAGGAAGGUGAGGAUGACGUCAAGUCAGCAUGCCCCUUAUGUCCUGGGCUACACACGUGCUACAAUGGUGAGGACAAAGAGUCGCAAGUUUGCAAAACAAGCUAA
rnacentral:rRNA from 1 species